ACACUCUGGUUUCCCUUCAAUUUACGAAUAAAUCUUUCGCCUUUUACUAAAGAUUUUCGUGGAGGGGAACGACUGACGAGUCUUUAUGAAUUUUUUGUGCCCGAUUUUCCAAUUGGGU